GACGGAGGAUGCAAGCGUUAUCCGGAAUUAUUGGGCGUAAAGCGUCCGCAGGUGGCUGUUCAAGUCUGCUGUCAAAGCGCAGAGCUUAACUCUGUACAGGCGGUGGAAACUGAAGAGCUAGAGUAUGGUAGGGGUAGAGGGAAUUCCUGGUGUAGCGGUGAAAUGCGCAGAUAUCAGGAAGAACACCCGUGGCGAAAGCGGCCCUCUGGAACGGUACUGACGCUGAGACGCGAAAGCGUGGGGAGCGAACAGG
rnacentral:rRNA from 1 species